rnacentral:tRNA from 1 species
UGGGGAGUCGUCUAGUGGUAGGACAGCAGAUUCUGGCUCUGCCGACCGGGGUUCGAAUCCCUGCUCCCCAG